UACGGGGGGGGCAAGCGUUGUUCGGAAUUACUGGGCGUAAAGGGCGCGUAGGCGGCCUCCUAAGUCAGACGUGAAAUCCCCCGGCUUAACCUGGGAACUGCGUCUGAUACGGGCAGACUAGAGUCCGGCAGGGGAGACUGGAAUUCCUGGUGUAGCGGUGAAAUGCGCAGAUAUCAGGAGGAACACCGGUGGCGAAGGCGGGUCUCUGGGCCGGAACUGACGCUGAGGAGCGAAAGCGUGGGGAGCGAACAGG
rnacentral:rRNA from 1 species